rnacentral:rRNA from 1 species
GAUGAACGCUAGCGGCAGGCUUAAUACAUGCAAGUCGAGGGGCAGCAUGAUUGUAGCAAUACAAUUGAUGGCGACCGGCAAACGGGUGCGGAACACGUACACAACCUCCCAAUAAGUGGGGAAUAGCCCAGAGAAAUUUGGAUUAAUACCCCGUAACAUAACGAUGUGGCAUCACAUUGUUAUUAUAGAUUUUUCGCUUAUUUAUGGGUGUGCGGCUGAUUAGAUAGUUGGCGGGGUAACGGCCCACCAAGUCUACGAUCAGUAGCUGAUGUGAGAGCAUGAUCAGCCACACGGGCACUGAGACACGGGCCCGACUCCUACGGGAGGCAGCAGUAAGGAAUAUUGGACAAUGGACGCAAGUCUGAUCCAGCCAUGCCGCGUGAAGGAUUAAGGUCCUCUGGAUUGUAAACUUCUUUUGUAAGGGACGAAAAAAGGCUUUUCUAAGUCGUCUGACGGUACCUUAUGAAUAAGCACCGGCUAACUCCGUGCCAGCAGCCGCGGUAACAC